rnacentral:rRNA from 1 species
CAGCCGCCGCGGGAAUACGAAGGGUGCAAGCGUUACUCGGAAUUACUGGGCGUAAAGCGUGCGUAGGUGGUGGUUUAAGUCCGUUGUGAAAGCCCUGGGCUCAACCUGGGAAUUGCAGUGGAUACUGGGUCACUAGAGUGUGGUAGAGGAUAGUGGAAUUUCCGGUGUAGCAGUGAAAUGCGUAGAGAUCGGAAGGAACAUCUGUGGCGAAGGCGACUAUCUGGGCCAACACUGACACUGAGGCACGAAAGCGUGGGGAGCAAACAGGAUUAGAUACCCCUGUAGUUCCUGUCUCUUAUAC